UACAAAUGAAUUGACGGGGGCCCGCACAAGCGGUGGAGCAUGUGGUUUAAUUCGACGCAACGCGAAGAACCUUACCAGGGCUUGACAUCCCCUGACCGUCUAUGAAAGUAGGCUUUCUACCUUCGGGUAGACAGGGAGACAGGUGGUGCAUGGUUGUCGUCAGCUCGUGUCGUGAGAUGUUGGGUUAAGUCCCGCAACGAGCGCAACCCUUACGGUUAGUUGCCAGCGGGUUAUGCCGGGCACUCUAGCUGAACUGCCGUUGACAAAACGGAGGAAGUGGGGAUGACGUCAAAUCAUCAUGCCCUUUAUGUCCUGGGCUACACACGUGCUACAAUGGCCUGUACAGAGGGAAGCGAAAGGGUGACCUGGAGCGAAUCCCAAAAAGCAGGUCUCAGUUCGGAUUGCAGGCUGCAACCCGCCUGCAUGAAGUCGGAAUCGCUAGUAAUCGCAGGUCAGCACGCCGCGGUGAAUACGUUCCCGGGCCUU
rnacentral:rRNA from 1 species